GUAAUUCAAUUAUACUAUCAAUAACCGAUGUAAUCAUUAAAUUAAAAUAUCAAAGUGUGAUUUAUGCGUUAAAAAUGAAAUAAGUUUCCGCAUUCAUUUUUAGCAUGACAGAUGUAUUCGAUAUUAUGAAAAUAUUAUGGGGACUUCUGAUUUUUUUAAUACUUGAAUCAUACCAAGCAUUUGACGAAGACUGCUUCACGAAAGAUCCAGUUUGUGGUACCGAUGGCAUAACAUAUAGCAACAUUUGUAAAUUUUACGAAGCUAAGAGAUUAGAUCGGGAUUUGUCCGUCUUAUAUGAUGGACCUUGUUUAACUAAAGCGGUACACACAUUAAAAAAAAUGUCUCAUAUUAAAAGGAUUACAAAUACUGUAAGACAUAAUGAAAAAGUAAAAUCAAGUCAUCGAACGGCUAAUUACACAUCUGACAUAAUAAGGAUGGAAAACAAUAUACCAGUUUACGCCGCAAACUCGACGUUACUUCUUAUUUUCGACGACUGUUACAAGAAAUGUCCAUCGUGUCCAAGAAAAAUUAAUUUAGUUAAUAAUUUGAUAUUUUUUAAACGCAAAUGUUUUCGGUGUUGUUUGAAUAGUUAAAAAUGUGUUCGAUACAGAAGUACAUAUACAAUUAUAAUUUGAAUUCCAAAUA